rnacentral:rRNA from 1 species
AUUGAACGCUGGCGGCACGCCUAACACAUGCAAGUCGAGCGGCAGCAUGCUUAGUAGCAAUACUAAGUGAUGGCGAGCGGCGGACGGGUGAGGAACACGUAGGAACCUGCCCAAAAGUGGGGGACAACCAAGGGAAACUUUGGCUAAUACCGCAUAAUUCUCUGAGGAGAAAAGUUGCCCGCAAGGGUGGCGCUUUUGGAGGGGCCUGCGUCCGAUUAGUUAGUUGGUGAGGUAAUGGCUCACCAAGACGAUGAUCGGUAACUGGUCUGAGAGGACGACCAGUCACACUGGGACUGAGACACGGCCCAGACUCCUACGGGAGGCAGCAGUGGGGAAUCUUGGACAAUGGGGGCAACCCUGAUCCAGCGAUGCCGCGUGGGUGAAGAAGGCCUUCGGGUUGUAAAGCCCUUUAGGCGGGGAAGAAGGGUGUAGGAUGCAUAAGCCUAUGCUUUGACGGUACCCGCAGAAUAAGCACCGGCAAACUCUGUGCCAGCAGCCGCCGUAA